GAUCUUGUCGGUGGCUUUCCUUUAUCUUGAAGAUUAAGCCAUGCAUGUCUAAGUAUGAACUGGUUUAAGGUGAAACUGCGUACGGCUCAUUACAUCAGCUAUAACUUUCUUUGAUCAUAAAUUCUAAAUGGAAUAACCGAGGAAAAGCCUGGGCUAAUACAUGCGACAAUUCNNCGGAACUGUUUGUUGGUGACUCUAAAUAACUUUGUGUUGAUCGUAUGACCUUUGUGUCGACGACAUAUCUUUCAAGUGUCUGACUUAUCAACUUUAGACGGUACAUUAUAUGUCUACCGUGGUUGUAACGAGUACAGAGAAUCAGGGUUUGGUUCUGGAGAGGCCGCCUGAGAAACGGCGACCACUUCCAAGGAAGGCAGCAGGCGCGCAAAUUACCCACUCUCAAAACGAGGAGGUAGUGAAGAGAAAUAACGAUGUUAGUCUUUUCUAGGCUGACAAUCGGAAUGGAAACACUGUAAACAGGUUAUUGAUUAACAAUUGGAGGGCAAGUCUGGUGCCAGCAGCCGCGGUAAUUCCAGCUCCAAUAAGGAAAACUAAAGUUGCUGUGUUUAAAAAGCUCGUAGUUGAAUUUCGGGUAUUUGUUGCUAGCUGGUCUNNNNNNNNAGUUGCCAGAACGUUUACUUUGAGAAAAUUAGAGUGCUAAAAGCAGGCUCACGCCUAUAUAUAUUGCAUGGAAUAAUGAAAUAAGAUCUCGAUUUUAUUUCGUUGGUUUUAGAAAUUGAGAUAAUGAUUAAUAGGAUCAGAGGGGGGCGUACGUACUGUGGUGUGAGAGGUGAAAUUCUUGGAUCGCCACAGGACGAACAGCAGCGAAGGCGUUCGCCAAGAAUGUUUUCAUUAAUCAAGAACGAAAGUUUGAGGUUCGAAGACGAUUAGAUACCGUCCUAGUUCAAACCAUAAACGUUGCCAACUGUCUUUUAGAUGCGGUUAUUUAUAUGACUCAUCUGGCGGAUCUCGAGAAAUCUAAGUUUUUAGGUUCCGGGGGAAGUAUGGUUGCAAAGCUGAAACUUAAAAGAAUUGACGGAAGGACACACAAGAAGUGGAGCCUGUGGCCUAAUUUGACUCAACACGGGAAACCUUACUCGGCCAGGACACUUUUAGGAUUGACAGAUUGAGAGCUCUUUCUUGAUUAGGUGGGUGGUGGUGCAUGGUCGUUCGUAGUUCGUGGAGCGAUUUGUCUGAUUAAUUUCGAUAACGAACGAGACUCCGGCUUACUAAAUAGUCUAAAGUUCGAAGGGACUUUUCAAGACUUCUUAGCAGGAUAAGUGGCACUUUUUAAGCCACACGAAAUGGAGCAAUAACAGGUCUGUGAUGCCCUUAGAUGUCCGAGGCUGCACGCGCGCUACACUGGAGAGUUCAGAAUGUUUCUUCCUACUUCGACAGGAGUGGGUAACCAUGAAAUUCUCUUCGUGACUGGGAUCGGAGCUUGCAAUUAUUCUCCGUCAACGAGGAAUUCCUAGUAAGCACUAUUUCAUCAGAAUGUGCUGAUUAUGUCCCUGUCCUUUGUACACACCGCCCGUCGCUACUACCGAUUGAAUGUUUUAGUGAGAUCUUCGGCUUGGUUUUCCGAGCGGCUUUCGGGUCGUUCGGUUUAUAUCGAAAAGAUGCUCAAACUGGAUCAUUUAGAGGAAGUAAAAGUCGUAACAAGGUAUUCGUAGGUGAACCUGCGUAUG
rnacentral:rRNA from 1 species